UGGGGAAUAUUGGACAAUGGGCGAAAGCCUGAUCCAGCCAUGCCGCGUGUGUGAAGAAGGUCUUCGGAUUGUAAAGCACUUUAAGUUGGGAGGAAGGGCAGUAAGCGAAUACCUUGCUGUUUUGACGUUACUGACAGAAUAAGCCCCGGCUAACUCUGUGCCAGCAGCCGCGGUAAUACAGAGGGUGCAAGCGUUAAUCGGAAUUACUGGGCGUAAAGCGCGCGUAGGUGGUUCGUUAAGUUGAAUGUGAAAGCCCCGGGCUCAACCUGGGAAAUGCAUCCAAAACUGGCGAGCUAGAGUAGGGGAGAGGGUGGUGGAAUUUCCUGUGUAGCGGUGAAAUGCGUAGAUAUAGGAAGGAACAACAGUGGCGAAGGCGACCACCUGGGCUCAUACUGACACUGAGGUGCGAAAGCGUGGGGAGCAAACAGG
rnacentral:rRNA from 1 species